GUUAUGCUCAAACAACACCAAGGCCAUAAAGUAUCAUUGAGUCGACCAUUCAUCUAAGUGGAAUAGAACAGCAAACGCACAAAUGUAUUUGUAUGCAUCCAACAUAAAUGCAGCUUGUAUGCUUUCAUGGGUAUGAUAUAGCUCUAGAAUCCAGACUAAAGAAUCAUGUCUAAUUCAUUUAAAAAUAAGAUACCAAUGUAAAAAGGAUGAAAUAGACUAAACAGAUUUGGUUAAUAAAAAUCAACUUACCCCUUUGCGAUCAGAAGGACGUGG
rnacentral:misc_RNA from 1 species